rnacentral:rRNA from 1 species
AGCUCCAAUAGCGUAUAUUAAAGUUGUUGCAGUUAAAAAGCUCGUAGUUGGAUUUCGGAACGGGCCAGUCGGUCCGCCGCAAGGUGUGUUACUGGCUGGUCUGUUCUUCUUCGCAAAGACUGCGUGUGCUCUUUACUGAGUGUGCGUAGGACUUGCGACGUUUACUUUGAAAAAAUUAGAGUGUUCAAAGCAGGCUUGAGCUUGAAUACAUGAGCAUGGAAUAAUGGAAUAGGACUUUGGUCCUAUUUUGUUGGUUUCUGGGACCGAAGUAAUGAUUAAGAGGGACAAUUGGGGGCAUCCGUAUUUCGUUGUCAGAGGUGAAAUUCUUGGAUUUACGAAAGACGAACAACUGCGAAAGCACUUGCCAAGAGUGUUUUCAUUAAUCAAGAACGAAAGUAGG